rnacentral:lncRNA from 1 species
UUUGAAGUCAGAUGCACCACAAGAAAAACCUAAGUGUUUGCUUUGGGUUUAAGUCCACACUCAGUUAAAUAGUUUGGGCUUAUAGUUUGAGUUUUUCUUGUUUAAUAGAUUCGGGUGUUUUAUGGCCUAGGAACAUCUUCCUAAGACAUUUGUAAUAGUCCCUCUUUUAUAGUAGUGAUUUGCUCGUCUUUCGUCCGUGGAUGUAGGUCAAUUAACCGAACCACGUAAAUAUGGUGUUCUUGUCGCUUUUAUUUUUUCCGCUUUAUUGUCUUUGUUGGGUUACCAAAAUUAUCCUUUGGUAAAUUUCCUG